AUCCGGAGGAUCCGGGCGUUAUCCGGAUUUAUUGGGUUUAAAGGGUGCGCAGGCGGCCAUUUAAGUCAGCGGUUAAAUCGUGGGGCUCAACCCCAUUCUGCCGUUGAUACUGGGUGGCUUGAUUGCGGUCGAGGUUGGCGGAAUUCGUUGUGUAGCGGUGAAAUGCAUAGAUAUGACGAAGAACACCGAUUGCGUAGGCAGCUGACCAGACCGCAAAUGACGCUCAUGCAUGAAAGUGCGGGGAUCGAACAGGAUUAGAUACCCUGGUAGUCCGCACAGUAAACGAUGAAUACUUGUUUUCGGCGAUAUAAUGUCGGAGGCAAAGCGAAAGCGAUAAGUAUUCCACCUGGGGAGUACGCCGGCAACGGUGAAACUCAAAGGAAUUGACGGGG
rnacentral:rRNA from 1 species